UACGGAGGGUGCAAGCGUUGUCCGGAUUUAUUGGGUUUAAAGGGUGCGUAGGCGGCCCGUUAAGUCAGCGGUGAAAUCCCGGGGCUCAACCCCGGAACUGCCGUUGAUACUGGCGGGCUUGAGUUCGGUGAAGGCGGGCGGAACUGGCGGUGUAGCGGUGAAAUGCUUAGAUACCGCCAAGAACCCCGAUUGCGUAGGCAGCUCGCUGUGCCAAAACUGACGCUGAGGCACGAAAGCGUGGGGAGCGAACAGG
rnacentral:rRNA from 1 species